UACGUAGGGUGCACGCGUUAAUCGGAAUUACUGGGCGUAAAGCGUGCGCAGGCGGUUAUGUAAGGCAGUUGUGAAAUCCCCGGGCUCAACCUGGGAACUGCAUCUGUGACUGCAUAGCUAGAGUACGGUAGAGGGGGAUGGAAUUCCGCGUGUAGCAGUGAAAUGCGUAGAUAUGCGGAGGAACACCGAUGGCGAAGGCAAUCCCCUGGACCUGUACUGACGCUCAUGCACGAAAGCGCGGGGAGCAAACAGG
rnacentral:rRNA from 1 species